GACGAACGCUGGCGGCGUGCUUAACACAUGCAAGUCGAGCGAUGAAGUUCUUUCGGGAAUGGAUUAGCGGCGGACGGGUGAGUAACACGUGGGUAACCUGCCUCAUAGAGGGGAAUAGCCUUCCGAAAGGAAGAUUAAUACCGCAUAAGAUUGUAGUUUCGCAUGAAACAGCAAUUAAAGGAGCAAUCCGCUAUGAGAUGGACCCGCGUCGCAUUAGCUAGUUGGUGAGGUAACGGCUCACCAAGGCGACGAUGCGUAGCCGACCUGAGAGGGUGAUCGGCCACAUGGGGACUGAGACACGGCCCAGACUCCUACGGGAGGCAGCAGUGGGGAAUAUUGCACAAUGGGGGAAACCCUGAUGCAGCAACGCCGCGUGAGUGAUGACGGUCUUCGGAUUGUAAAACUCUGUCUUCAGGGACGAUAAUGACGGUACCUGAGGAGGAAGCCACGGCUAACUACGUGCCAGCAGCCGCCGUAA
rnacentral:rRNA from 1 species